rnacentral:rRNA from 1 species
GACGAACGCUGGCGGCGUGCUUAACACAUGCAAGUCGAACGGAAAUAUUUAGAUAGUUUACUAGAUAAAUAUUUUAGUGGCGGACGGGUGAGUAACACGUGGGUAACCUGCCCAUAAGAGGGGGAUAACAUCCGGAAACGGUGCUAAUACCGCAUAGUUUUCUUGAUCGCAUGAUUGAGAAAGGAAAGACGGCCUUUGUGCUGUCGCUUAUGGAUGGACCCGCGGCGUAUUAGUUAGUUGGUGAGGUAACGGCUCACCAAGACGAUGAUACGUAGCCGACCUGAGAGGGUGAUCGGCCACAUUGGGACUGAGACACGGCCCAAA